rnacentral:rRNA from 1 species
AUUGAACGCUGGCGGCAGGCCUAACACAUGCAAGUCGAGCGGAUGAAGGGAGCUUGCUCCUGGAUUGAGCGGCGGACGGGUGAGUCAUGCCUAUGAAUCUGCCUGGUAGUGGGGGAUAACGUCCUGAAACGGACGCUAAUACCGCAUACGUCCUGAGGGAGCAAGUGGGGGAUCUUCGGACCUCACGCUAUCAGAUGAGCCUAGGUCGGAUUAGCUAGUUGGUGGGGUAAAGGCCUACCAAGGCGACGAUCCGUAACUGGUCUGAGAGGAUGAUCAGUCACACUGGAUGUGAGAAACGGUCCAGACUCCUACGGUAAGCCGCAGUGGGGAAUAUUGGGCAAUGCGCGAAUGCCUGAUCCAGCCAUGCCGCGUGUGUGAAGAAGGUCUUCGGAUUGUAAAGCACUUUAAGUUGGGAGGAAGGGCAGUAAGUUAAUACCUUGCUGUUUUGACGGUACCAACAGAAUAAGCACCGGCUAACUUCGUG